rnacentral:rRNA from 1 species
UUAUUGGAGAGUUUGAUCCUGGCUCAGGACGAACGCUGGCGGCGUGCCUAAUACAUGCAAGUCGAGCGAAUCUGAGGGA